CGCCCUCCAGCUUCGGCAGCAGGAUCGCCGGCGUGUCACGCCGGAGGUCGCGGGUUCGAGUCCCGUCGCUC
rnacentral:tRNA from 1 species